rnacentral:rRNA from 1 species
CGCGAAUGGCUCAUUACAACAGCUAUAAUUUACUCGAAUUUGACAACCCUACUUGGAUACCGGUGGUAAUUCUAGCGCUAAUACAUGCACCAAAGCUCCGACCGCGAGGGAAGAGCGCAUUUAUUAGAACAAAACCACACGGCUUCGGCCGUCCAAUGUUGACUCAGAAUAACUAAGCUGAUCGCAUGGUCUUGCACCGGCGACGUUUCUUUCAAGUAUCUGCCUUAUCAACUUUCGAUGGUAGUGUAUCUGACUACCAUGGUGAUGACGGGUAACGGAGGAUAAGGGUUCGACUCCGGAGAAGGGGCCUGAGAAAUGGCCACUACGUCUAAGGAUGGCAGCAGGCGCGCAAAUUACCCACUCUCAGUACGAGGAGGUAGAGACGAGAAAUAACAAGACCGUUCUCUAAAGAGGCCGGUCAUUGGAAUGGGUACAAUUUAAACCCUUUAACGAGUAUCUAUGAGAGGGCAAGUCUGGUGCCAGCAGCCGCGGUAAUUCCAGCU